GACGAACGCUGGCGGCGUGCUUAACACAUGCAAGUCGAACGGAAAGGCCCUGCUUUUGUGGGGUGCUCGAGUGGCGAACGGGUGAGUAACACGUGAGUAACCUGCCCUUGACUUUGGGAUAACUUCAGGAAACUGGGGCUAAUACCGGAUAGGAGCUCCUGCUGCAUGGUGGGGGUUGGAAAGUUUCGGCGGUUGGGGAUGGACUCGCGGCUUAUCAGCUUGUUGGUGGGGUAGUGGCUUACCAAGGCUUUGACGGGUAGCCGGCCUGAGAGGGUGACCGGCCAAAUUGGGACUUAGAUACCGGCCAGACUCCUAAGGGAGGCAGCAGUGGGGAAGAUUGCACGAAGGGCGGAAGCCUGAUGCAGCAACGCCGCGUGCGGGAUGACGGCCUUCGGGUUGUAAACCGCUUUCGCCUGUGACGAAGCGUGAGUGACGGUAAUGGGUAAAGAAGCACCGGCUAACUACGUG
rnacentral:rRNA from 1 species